rnacentral:rRNA from 1 species
GACGAACGCUGGCGGCGUGCUUAACACAUGCAAGUCGAACGGAAAGGCCCUGCUUUUGUGGGGUGCUCGAGUGGCGAACGGGUGAGUAACACGUGAGUAACCUGCCCUUGACUUUGGGAUAACUUCAGGAAACUGGGGCUAAUACCGGAUAGGAGCUCCUGCUGCAUGGUGGGGGUUGGAAAGUUUCGGCGGUUGGGGAUGGACUCGCGGCUUAUCAGCUUGUUGGUGGGGUAGUGGCUUACCAAGGUUUUGACGGGUAGCCGGCCUGAGAGGGUGACCGGCCACAUUGGGACUGAGAUACGGCCCAGACUCCUACGGGAGGCAGCAGUGGGGAAUAUUGCACAAUGGGCGGAAGCCUGAUGCAGCAACGCCGCGUGCGGGAUGACGGCCUUCGGGUUGUAAACCGCUUUCGCCUGUGACGAAGCGUGAGUGACGGUAAUGGGUAAAGAAGCACCGGCUAACUACGUGCCAGCAGCCGCGGUGAUACGUAGGGUGCGAGCGUUGUCCGGAUUUAUUGGGCGUAAAGGGCUCGUAGGUGGUUGAUCGCGUCGGAAGUGUAAUCUUGGGGCUUAACCCUGAGCGUGCUUUCGAUACGGGUUGACUUGAGGAAGGUAGGGGAGAAUGGAAUUCCUGGUGGAGCGGUGGAAUGCGCAGAUAUCAGGAGGAACACCAGUGGCGAAGGCGGUUCUCUGGGCCUUUCCUGACGCUGAGGAGCGAAAGCGUGGGGAGCGAACAGGCUUAGAUACCCUGGUAGUCCACGCUGUAAACGGUGGGUACUAGGUGUGGGGUCCAUUCCACGGGUUCCGUGCCGUAGCUAACGCUUUAAGUACCCCGCCUGGGGAGUACGGCCGCAAGGCUAAAACUCAAAGGAAUUGACGGGGCCCCGCACAAGCGGCGGAGCAUGCGGAUUAAUUCGAUGCAACGCGUAGAACCUUACCUGGGUUUGACAUGGAUCGGGAGUGCUCAGAGAUGGGUGUGCCUCUUUUGGGGUCGGUUCACAGGUGGUGCAUGCCUGUCGUCAGCUCGUGUCGUGAGAUGUUGGGUUAAGUCCCGCAACGAGCGCAACCCUUGUUCACUGUUGCCAGCACGUUAUGGUGGGGACUCAGUGGAGACCGCCGGGGUCAACUCGGAGGAAGGUGGGGAUGACGUCAAGUCAUCAUGCCCCUUAUGUCCAGGGCUUCACGCAUGCUACAAUGGCUGGUACAGAGAGAGGCGAGCCUGUGAGGGUGAGCGAAUCUCGGAAAGCCGGUCUCAGUUCGGAUUGGGGUCUGCAACUCGACCUCAUGAAGUCGGAGUCGCUAGUAAUCGCAGAUCAGCAACGCUGCGGUGAAUACGUUCCCGGG